GGCACGCCCGAAGUCGUUACUCCAACCCGCAAGGGAGGAGGAUGCCGAAGGUGGGGCUGAUGACUGGGGUGAAGUCGUAACAAGGUAGCCGUACCGGAAGGUGCGGCUGGAUCACCUCCUAACAGGGAGACAAAACUGAUCAUGAUGUCUGAGUGCUGCGAGGGCAAUAUGCCAUCAAAGCAACCAAUCAUCUUAGGCCAUGAUCCUGUCAUCUCUAGGUCGAUCGGUACCUCAAUCGAGGUCUCUGCACCAAACAGCGGGAGUCAUCCAGUUGCGAGGAGCAGAGGAAUCGGAUCAGUUCCUAAACUUUGUCUAGGUCACCCCCUAGAGGGUAAAGACUCCUGGGCCAUUAGCUCAGGUGGUUAG
rnacentral:misc_RNA from 1 species